ensembl:snRNA U6 U6 spliceosomal RNA
GUGCUCACUUUGGAAGCACAUACACUAAAACUGAAACAAUACAGAGAAACUUAGCAUGGCCUCUGCACAAGGAUGACACACAAAUCCAUGAAGCAGUCCAUAUUUUU